rnacentral:rRNA from 1 species
UACGGAGGGUGCAAGCGUUAUCCGGGUUCACUGGGUUUAAAGGGUGCGUAGGUGGGCAAGUAAGUCAGUGGUGAAAUCUCCGGGCUUAACCCGGAAACUGCCAUUGAUACUAUUUGUCUUGAAUACUGUGGAGGUCAGCGGAAUAUGUCAUGUAGCGGUGAAAUGCUUAGAUAUGACAUAGAACACCAAUUGCGAAGGCAGCUGGCUACACAAAUAUUGACACUGAGGCACGAAAGCGUGGGGAUCAAACAGG